UCCCGGGGAACAUUCAACGCUGUCGGUGAGUUUGUGGCUGUGGGUGAAACCACCGAGCGUUGCGUGUGCCCCGUGG
rnacentral:pre_miRNA from 1 species